AUGCAGAUCUGUUUCUGUGUUUAUAUCUAUGUCAACGGCAUGCACUUCAAGACACACACACACACACAUAUAGAGAGAGAGACAGGAUGUUUGUGGCUACAGGGAUGCUCUAUCACAGGAUACAUCAUCAUUUUCCCACCUUGUUCACGUACAAUACUCUCAAACAUAGAGGAAGCUUCAACAUUCAUCACAGAGCUGAUGUGCUCCCCAUGCAUCUCAUCUAGGGCUGUAGAGGUCCUCUCUAGGUGCUGAUCCACCAUCUGGGCUGGAUACAUACUGGAUCCCGGUGACUUCAGUGACCCUCCGACUUGGAAACAGACUGGAUCUGGUGGCUACGGUGACCUCGGAAUAAGAGAGAAACAGACUUAUAUUAGCGUAGAUGCCAUUCUUCUAAUGAUGUAGCAAGUACAUCGGGUGUUAUGGGAAGUGUUCCCGGUUCUGGUUGUCCUAAUAAAUGCAGCUUAAAAAUCCUUUAAUGGAUUUCAAUAUUAGAAAUGUGUUGAAGUUCAAUUCCAGGCUGCAGCAAAGUCAGAUUGUGCAGAGGACUCAUCUGGUUCCUGUGGUCUUGUCCCGGUGGUCAUCUGAGACAAAGUCUUUACAGGGGAUCUAGGGCUCGUCUAGUUGUCCUGGUCUCUGCUGUCUUUCAGGGCUGUAGAGGUCCUCUCUAGGUGCUGAUCCACCAUCUGGGCUGGAUACAUACUGGAUCCCGGUGACUUCAGUGACCCUCCGACUUGGAAACAGACUGGAUCUGGUGGCUACGGUGACCUCGGAAUAAGAGAGAAACAGACUUAUAUUAGCGUAGAUGCCAUUCUUCUAAUGAUGUAGCAAGUACAUCGGGUGUUAUGGGAAGUGUUCCCGGUUCUGGUUGUCCUAAUAAAUGCAGCUUAAAAAUCCUUUAAUGGAUUUCAAUAUUAGAAAUGUGUUAGUGUGUUGUGUAAGCCAGGUUAAAGAGAUCUUUAAUCUAGAUUUAAACUGCAAGAGUGUGUCUGCCUCCCGAACAAUGUUAGGUAGGUUAUUCCAGAGUUUAGGCACUAAAUACUGUAGGAAAAGGAUCUGCCGCCCACAGUUGAUUUUGAUAUUCUAGGUAUUAUCAAAUUGCCAGAAUUUUGAGAAUGCAGCGGACGUGGAGGACUAUAAUGUAACAAGAGCUCGUUCAAAUACUGAGGUGCUAAACCAUUCAGGGCUUUAUAAGUAAUAAGCAAGAUUUUAAAAUCUAUAUGAUGUUUAAUAGGGAUCCAGUGCAGUGUUGACAGGACCGGGCUAAUAUGGUCAUACUUCCUGGUUCUAGUAAGAACUCUAGCUGCUGGAUUUUAGACUAGCUGGCGUUUGUUUAUUAAGCGUGCAGAACAACCACCCAAUAAAGCAUUACAAUAAUCU
rnacentral:lncRNA from 1 species